rnacentral:rRNA from 1 species
AUUGAACGCUGGCGGCAUGCCUUACACAUGCAAGUCGAACGGCAGCACGGGAGCAAUCCUGGUGGCGAGUGGCGAACGGGUGAGUAAUAUAUCGGAACGUGCCCAGUCGUGGGGAUAACGUAGCGAAAGCUACGCUAAUACCGCAUACGAUCUAUGGAUGAAAGCGGGGGAUCGCAAGACCUCGCGCGAUUGGAGCGGCCGAUAUCAGAUUAGGUAGUUGGUGAGGUAAAGGCUCACCAAGCCGACGAUCUGUAGCUGGUCUGAGAGGACGACCAGCCACACUGGGACUGAGACACGGCCCAGACUCCUACGGGAGGCAGCAGUGGGGAAUUUUGGACAAUGGGCGCAAGCCUGAUCCAGCAAUGCCGCGUGCAGGAUGAAGGCCUCGGUUCGGUUAACGUAGUACUUUGUUACGUAAC